GACAAGACUCCCUCUCCAGGCUCCUCUUCCCACACAGGGUGUCCAGGUCUCUGGAGCUCUUUGCGGGAGAAGGACUUAAGGGGACAAGACUGGCCACAGAUGAUUUGCCUCUGGGUGGAGAAGGGGAGUGUCCUCUGCAGCAUCAGAGGACUCUAUUUUUAGCCUCCUCUCUCUUCCCUCACACCCAUGUUAGCAGGACUCCUAGAGGUGAACACUUUUCACCUCACCCUUAAGUCCUGGCAGUUUCUUUGAAUUUUUGUUUCUGCUUUAGAGUGGAGUGGGGGAGAAAAUACGGUCCUCAAGUUCUGAGAAACUGGAGGGGAAAAGUCACAGGACCACCAACUUCUCUUUUUUUUUUUUUUUUUUUUUUUGAGACGGAGUCUCGCUCUGUCGCCCAGGCUGGAGUGCAGUGGCUCAAUCUCGGCUCACUGCAAGCUCCGCCUCCCGGGUUCACGCCAUUCUCCUGCCUCAGCCUCUCCGAGUAGCUGAGACUACAGGCGCCCGCCACCACGCCCGGCUAAUUUUUUUUUUUUGUAUUUUUAGUAGAGACGGGGUUUCACCGUGGUCUCGAUCUCCUGACCUCGUGAUCCGCCCACCUCGGCCUCCCAAAGUGCUGGGAUUACAAGCGUGAGCCACCGCGCCCGGCCAGGACCACCAACUUCUCUAUGACAUAGCCCAGCAUCCGAGGAAAGUCCUGCAAUAGUGGAGGUGGAGCAGAGGCUAUGAGCUGGGAAGCAAAUGGAGCAGGAGCUGGAGGCUGCCCCAUCCACUCCAAGCCAGAGAACAAGCAGAGGCUGCCACAGGAGAUCCUGGGCAAGUAAUCAGUCACAGCGUCUAGAUUAGCAAUGAAGGAAACGCUGGCCAAAUUAAAAGAUGAAACUUCCAAAAGUGCAAAGAGGAAGAGUCAGAAGGUGAAUAAAUACUCACAGCCGAAGCUCUUCAAAAGACUUCACCGAGUACAGAGGGGAGUUUGGAUCCCGCUGCAGGACUUCCACUUGGUUUGUGUUAUCAACAAGGUUGCUUCUGAUCAGCUUGUUGAGUAAGGACUGGGCAGCUCUGUCCUCUGUCAGGAAAAAGAAAGCAAAGAAUUUUAAAAAGUCCUUGAAACCUACCAGGUGUUUACUCUAAUUCAACUGCCAUUUAUAUUUUAAAUAAUAAUGUACUGAACAUUCAAAUUCAAGGUACAUCAUAGUUUUGACUUAUAAAUUAAAAUAGUUUUAUUAAAGAAAAAAAGUUAUGAUACAUCACCCAUUUAGGCCUCAUAUUCUUCUCCAGACUCUAUUCUAACAGCCCUCUUUUCCUGCAGUUAUCUAUUCCUCCUAUCCAGACCCACAUAUUUAGUCCCCAAUUUGUACUAUAUAUAAACCUAAAGUAAUUCAUGUAACAAUCAC